AAAAACUUGUCAGACAUUGAUUUCAACGUUCUGGGCUGCCCAGAAAGUCACUCGGUCAAUCCCGGUCAACGGGUUUUGACCGUUAAUAACUCCCGAUCCAGACAUCAUUUAGCAGUAAUACCAACUACAGAUUAAAGACCUCCUACCAGGCUACCAAUAAAAAACAUAAAACAAGAAAAAUCAAAAACAGACACGGAUCU
rnacentral:lncRNA from 1 species